rnacentral:lncRNA from 1 species
UGAAAAGAAAAACAACUAUACUAACAAUCCCCGGCAACGGCGCCAAAAAUUGAUAGUCAACUUUAAAGACCACGCAAUAGCACGUAUCUGGUAGGAUAGUGAUUACGGGUAUCGAUCCAUAGGGAUUGGGGUACAGUUAUUUUCUUAAAAAUAAAAAUAUUUAAAAGGAAGAGUUUGUGAAGACUAUUAAACUAAGGAAUUUAAUAAAAAAUGCAAUUGAUAAUGAUAUCAGUUGGGAGAAACCUAGGGCAAGGAAUUCACCACUAACAUCGGAACAAGGGUUAAUUAUAUUUU